rnacentral:tRNA from 1 species
GGAUCGUUAGCUCAGUCGGUUAGAGCAUCUGCCUUACAAGCAGAAGGUCGUAGGUUCAAGCCCUACACGAUCCA